AGUCGCGUCGGGCCUCCCGAGGGGGCUGCGAGUGUCAGUCGGCUCUCCGCACGUGUCCGCGGCCUCGCGGAGCAGCACUGCAAGCUAUUUGGCAUAUGAAGGUCUUGACCUGAGAAAACCAUCUUGGAUAACUGCAGCAAGGAAAAGGAAAAAUGCAACACCUAGGAGAUUUCAGUAAACAGUAGAAUCAUGCCAACCUAAUCUGUGUUAAAAUGCUUGGAAUGUGGGAGCCGCUGAUGAUGCCUCUUGUCUGUGUGUCUGACUGAAUCCUUUCUUUUCUCAGAGCAGCAAAGCAAAGCCUGGGAACCAGGCCAAAUGCCUGCCACUUACCUUAAAUUGAUCAGCCACUUUGAGAUUAAAACCCCUGAAAGCUGCCACACCGUGAAAACAAGGCCUCCUUCACAUUAAAGGCAAAUUGCGACUUUG
rnacentral:lncRNA from 1 species